rnacentral:rRNA from 1 species
GUGGGGAAUAUUGGACAAUGGGCGCAAGCCUGAUCCAGCCAUACCGCGUGGGUGAAGAAGGCCUUCGGGUUGUAAAGCCCUUUUGUUGGGAAAGAAAUCCUGUCGGUUAAUACCUGGCGGGGAUGACGGUACCCAAAGAAUAAGCACCGGCUAACUUCGUGCCAGCAGCCGCGGUAAUACGAAGGGUGCAAGCGUUACUCGGAAUUACUGGGCGUAAAGCGUGCGUAGGUGGUGGUUUAAGUCCGUUGUGAAAGCCCUGGGCUCAACCUGGGAAUUGUAGUGGAUACUGGAUCACUAGAGUGUGGUAGCUGGAUGUGGAAUUUCUGGUGUAGCAGUGAAAUGCGUAGAGAUCAGAAGGAACAUCCGUGGCGAAGGCGGCAUCCUGGGCGAACACUGACACUGAGGCACGAAAGCGUGGGGAGCAAACAGGAUUAGAAACCCGGGUAGUCC